GAUGAACGCUGGCGGCGUGCUUAACACAUGCAAGUCGAACGGAAAGGCUCCUGCUUGCAGGGGUACUCGAGUGGCGAACGGGUGAGUAACACGUGGGUGAUCUGCCCUGCGCUUCGGGAUAAGCCUGGGAAACUGGGUCUAAUACCGGAUAGGACGAUGGUUUGGAUGCCAUUGUGGAAAGUUUUUUCGGUGUGGGAUGAGCUCGCGGCCUAUCAGCUUGUUGGUGGGGUAAUGGCCUACCAAGGCGUCGACGGGUAGCCGGCCUGAGAGGGUGUACGGCCACAUUGGGACUGAGAUACGGCCCAGACUCCUACGGGAGGCAGCAGUGGGGAAUAUUGCACAAUGGGCGCAAGCCUGAUGCAGCGACGCCGCGUGGGGGAUGACGGCCUUCGGGUUGUAAACUCCUUUCGCUAGGGACGAAGCGCAAGUGACGGUACCUGGAGAAGAAGCACCGGCUAACUACGUG
rnacentral:rRNA from 1 species